rnacentral:rRNA from 1 species
UACAGAGGGGGCGAGCGUUGUUCGGAAUUACUGGGCGUAAAGGGCGCGUAGGCGGCCUUCUAAGUCGAACGUGAAAUCCCCGGGCUCAACCCGGGAACUGCGUCCGAUACUGGCGGGCUUGAAUCCGGGAGAGGGAUGCGGAAUUCCAGGUGUAGCGGUGAAAUGCGUAGAUAUCUGGAGGAACACCCGUGGUGCAGACGGCUUGCUGGACCGUGACUGACGCUGAGGCACGAAAGCGUGGGUAGCAAACAGG